AGCACUCUGCACAGCAGUUGAUUCUGUUUUAGAGAGUAUGGAGACAGCUGUGCCUUUGGUAAUUACUGUGGACUGUCCUGGAAUGAAAUACACUGGGAGUGAGGAUUCUACCUCUGCUUUCAGGAUAUCUGUUUACAGUCAAGCCAAGGACCAAGAGCAAUGGCUGUCAAACCAUAUUCGGAGUAAUGGAGUCAUGUGCCGUCCAGUGCAACUUAAUGUCAGAGAACAUUUCUGAAAAGGAAGAUGAAGUGGAGAGUGAAUAGUUUAUUGCUUAAGAGAUUGAUAAAGAUUACUUCCCACCUGAAGAGGAAGAAGAAGUAGUUCAUAUGCCCUCUGAAAGCAAGGAAAAGAAAUACAGUCUCAGCUUUUGCAGUUCUUACAAAUAUGCCUUUGUUGUACAGAACAAACGAGGCCUUCUGUCUCUGUACAUAAUGACACUGUGCUACACAUCUCUCAUACCUGCCCCUCGUAUAACUUUGGUGGCAAAUGGAACAAUUUCAGUUUUGGAACUUCACACUGAAGUUGUGCGGACUCUGCCAGCUGUGUUGGUCUGGAGAAGAUUCUUCAUCGAAGUCUCCUCCUAAGUGAUAUUUCUAAGCUUUCUAGACCUCCUCACUUGAA